rnacentral:lncRNA from 1 species
AAUUACUAAAAAUUGCUAAAAAGUAAAAUAACACGUUAAUUAGCAGCUUAAAAUGAUCUUAUUAUUUAGUGCACAAGUUAAUAAAUUUUCAAGAAUUCAUAAUAAUCUUUUGGUCCCUCUUUGUAACGUUAAGAGAAAUGGCCAUGCUAUCAAGAGUAAACAAUGUCAACAAAACUCCUUUCCAUACUAUAAAUACAUCAAUAAAUUCAUUAAGAAGUCUUGUUUUUUUCCUGCAAAUAAUCUCUUUCAUAAGCCUGUCGGCGCAGGUCCAGGAGCACUGUAAGCGGGACCAUGCUUAGGUGGAUGAGCGUGAUGGUGGUGGUGUUUGCCCUUAUGGUGGUGGUGGUGGUGAUUGUGAUGGUGAUGAUGGCCAUGUUUGUGGUGGCUGGGAGCGUGCGCCUUUUGGAUGUGAGGAAAGAGAGCCUCUACAUCCUCUUGGUCAAAAACUACAUUUUCUCUUAAUUUUGAGAAUUCCUCUUGACUACUAGCGAGAAUGGGAACGCACAGAAGAAUGAGCCCUAGAAGCAAAACAAGAGAGUAUACAGUACUCAUUACUGGUAUUUGGUGAUGGCAAAGAGUGACAAGGGAAGAACCUUUUUAUAGUGGAUUCGUAACCUACAAAAUUAAUUUUUGGUCAACAAUCUACUCUAUGCAUUAAUGACUUUUUAAUGCUCCAAAAAUAUUGUUGGGUUGAUGAAAUUCCUAUAGUAAUUAAAGACCUAAUUCGACAAUAAAUUUUGGAGAAAUAAUAAGAAGGGGAAAUAUUCCUAAUAAAAUUGAGAUUGCAAUUAGGACAAAUUAAACAUCAAUAAAUUCAUUAAGAAGUCUUGUUUUUUCCUGCAAAUAAUCUCUUUCAUAAGCUUGUCGGCGCAGGUCCAGGAGCACUGUAAGCGGGACCAUGCUUAGGUGGAUGAGCGUGAUGGUGGUGGUGUUUGCCCUUAUGGUGCUAAAAUUUUGAAGAAUGUAAAAGGUAUGUAAAUUAAGGGUAUUUCAAUUUUACAAAAUAUGAUAUAUAAAAUGUAAAUACGCCCUAAAUGUGCAUGGUGUAACUUUCCAAUUCCGAAACAAGAUCGCCUUGUAAUAAGAUAACAUCAACGAGACAAAGUGAGAGGCUAAUAAAACUCGUAGCUAUACUAUGAUGAAUGACCAAAGUUGACAAAGAGCUCUCCACAAGAAAAUAAGAAUAUCAUGAAACAGUCAUCAAGAAACUGAAAAAUCUUAGUGUUGUCUACAAAUAAUCUGUUUUCCAUAGUCUUUCGGUGCAUGAGUUUGGUGAUGAGGAAGGCGCACAUGCCGCGAAGGAGAUAGGUAUCCACCAGGGUGGUAGCCACGGUAUUGUGAUGGUGAUGAUGGCCAUGUUUGUGGUGGCUGGGAGCGUGCGCCUUUUGGAUGUGAGGAAAGAGAGCCUCUACAUCCUCUUGGUCAAAAACUACAUUUUCUCUUAAUUUUGAGAAUUCCUCUUGACUACUAGCGAGAAUGGGAACGCACAGAAGAAUGAGCCCUAGAAGCAAAACAAGAGAGUAUACAGUACUCAUUACUGGUAUUUGGUGAUGGCAAAGAGUGACAAGGGAAGAACCUUUUUAUAGUGGAUUCGUAACCUACAAAAUUAAUUUUUGGUCAACAAUCUACUCUAUGCAUUAAUGACUUUUUAAUGCUCCAAAAAUAUUGUUGGGUUGAUGAAAUUCCUAUAGUAAUUAAAGACCUAAUUCGACAAUAAAUUUUGGAGAAAUAAUAAGAAGGGGAAAUAUUCCUAAUAAAAUUGAGAUUGCAAUUAGGACAAAUUACUUCUUCGCAAUUGAAUCAAUUAGCAAGGAGAUUUCUGUAUCAGUUUAGUAUUCUAAAAAUUGUAAAAUGUGGUCGGUGGUAAGGUCAAGUUUUGAAUUUUACAAUCUAAGACUCAUAGAUGUUAAAAAAGUAUAUAUAUUUUCUUUUAUUUAAUAUGAUUUAAUUAUUCUAAAUAUUUGUGAAUACCAAUAUCUUAAAUCUUAGUAAUAUAAUUAAUUAAUAAUCCCACAACUACACAAUUUUCAAGUUUUUAAAAACUAAAUAAUUUUCAAUUAGACAACUCUUACAUGAUAGAUAACGGGGGUAUCAUCCAUUGAUAUUUCAAUGAAUUUUAAAAGUACUUUCAAAUUUAAGUGUCCCCCAAAAUGAAAUCCAUUAACAUUUAGGUGUCUUUCAAUGAAAUCGUCUUCAAUAACUCAUAGAGUCAAAAGGAUAUCAUUAAUAGAUAUAUUUUAUAAGAUUUGAAUGGAUUUUAAGUGUAUAUAUAUAACAAACUCUUUUGAAAUUUCACUAUUUUUAAUGAUAUCUUAUGGAUUAUAUAUAGAGCUCUAUUCAAAUCCACAAAAUUCAUUAAGAUUUAUAAUAUUUUAAAAUUUAUGAAAAUCCCAAUUGAGAACAUCCUGAAAUCCAACAAAAUGUCUCAAAAUCAUAAAUACAAAAUUUUUAACAAUUUCGGCAAUAGACAAUUAAGACAACAUUCUUUAUCGGACUCAAAUCCAAUAUCCUCUUCUUCGUCUAACUCAUCUUCUCAUUAUUCGAUACACACACACCAAAAAAAUAAAUAAAUAAAUAUUAUCGUGGUCCAUUAUUUUAAGUUAACCAUUUCCAGUACAUCUUCUACGUUUUAAUAUUUUCCUUUUUCUUUUGAUUAGUCGGGAUUUAAUAGUCCUUGAUGCUUAAGUGCCUGUUUGAUUUGGAUUGAAAUCUUAUUUUAAUUUAAGUCAAAGUCAAACAAUUAGUAUUAACCACAUCUUUCGUGAGUCCCACAAUUUUUUAACUACACAUUUCAAAAAUUUCUAUCACAAUCUAUUAAAAAAUCUAAUUUUAAUUUCUACAAACACCAUCUAAGGCAUAAGCCUUAAAUUUUAUUAAUAAUAAUAACAACAACACAUUAGACUUUCAACAAAGGAGUUGAACGCAUUUUCAUGCACCUAGGCCCUAGGCAGAACACUUCGAAAAUGUUUUUCGUCCAGACACACAUCAAGGUCAUGGCAAUUAAUGCUAUUCAUUAGCAAAUGAUCAAUAAUCUAUGUGACAGUGAAAUUACUGCACAUUUUUCUAUAAAAUUAAAUAUAUUUUAAUUAAUUGAAGAAUGUGAAAAUAACAUUAGAUGUCGAUCAUAGGCAUUGCUAAGGAGUAUUGGUGACCUUUAAAAACGUGCCAACAAAUGUCGAUCCUAGAUGACGUCCACCUAGAGAGAUUCUUGUGGAUCUUAAACGGACAUCUAAUCGGAUUCGAAAAUUAGCCAUGCAUAAACGCAUAGAGGGGUGAGAUAUUCAUGAUCGAAGGCAAUUUAUGAAAUAAAAAGAUGAUUCUAAUAAGCGUUUAUAGAGAGGAAAAAAUAAUGUAUGUUUGCAUGUCUAUUCGUUCAUCCCUUACAAUGUUACAAAAGCUGCUAUUUAUAGCAUCCAAGUUGACAUGGUCACUAUUGGAUCAGAUCCACGUGGCGUCAUCUACUCGAUCGGAGUGUCGCAUCAUCCUAUCUCACAUUAAUUACAUUGACAAAUACAUUUGACAAGGAAUCGACCGUCCUACACUUCGAGGCUGACAAUAUGACAUUUAUUAAUGCGAACGUCGUCACACGAGUUAUUCCUAAAGAUAUACUCAUUAGACCUACUCUACAGAGCUUCGAGCGUGAAAGAGUUCGGCUUAAGGAAUGAAAGCACUUCAGCCGUGGAGUUUGGACGGAAACAGUGCCUCCACCAGAAGACAAUUCUUGUUUUCUUCUUUAUUCUAGAUUGACUGCCACGUGCGUCACCUCUACGUGGCCUCCAUUGGAAGUUUCACCACAUACGACUAAUAAUAAGUAUUAUUCAGUUCACGGCACACAUGGUGCGUGGCAGAGAAAUUUAUUAUUAUUAUUAUUAUUAUUUAGUCAAAGAUGCUAGUGAGAGAGAGAAAAGUGAGAAAAAGCUAGAAGAAAGGUACCUGUGUUGUUCGCAGUACGUUAAACAUUUUAGUAUUGUGUAAGAAAUAAGAAUAUGUUGGGAGUAACGGCACACAUGGUGCGUGGCAGAGAAAUUUAUUACUAUUAUUAUUAUUUAGUCAAAGAUGCUAGUGAGAGAGAGAAAAGUGAGAAAAAGCUAGAAGAAAGGUACCUGUGUUGUUCGCAGUACGUUAAACAUUUUAGUAUUGUGUAAGAAAUAAGAAUAUGUUGGGAGUAAGAAAAAUACUAAAUAGAGAAAUACUGUAUCGUGAUGCUUUCUCAAUUAAUAAAAUCUUCUUCUUCAGUAGAUAUCAACAAUUUGCUAAACCACCUUUAAUUUGUGUUUCUCGUUCCUUUUCAUCAUUUUAGUUUCUUCUACAUUUCCUGCAAGUGUUGUGGAUCCUUUUCCCCAACAAAUAUGUGUGAUUCUAAUUCAUUAUGGAAAAUUUUACUUAAACAUAAUUAUUGUACAUAAUGAUAUCCGUAAUAUGAUAUGACAGUCAUCCGGUUGUUGAUAUGCAAGUGUAAGAUUUGAAUUAAAGGCUGGAUAUAGUGUCAUGUGUAAUUAUGGACACCAUUAUGUAGACAAUUAUAUAUACAUAGCACUUCCCAUUAUGGCCAUUCUCGAUCCAUAGCACUAAAUCGGUGCAACUUUCGUACCAGAUUAGUGCAACUCUCACACCAUCUCGCAAAGAUAUAUCCAAAUUAUUACACCAAAUGAACAAUAUUUUCUUUAUUUUUUACUCUUUUUAAUUCAUUUAUUAAAAAAUAUUUAAUUACAAAUUACAUAACUUCUAAAAUUAUUAAAUUUAAAUUAUAUUUAAAUAACUACAAUAUUUUAUUUAUUAAUAAAAUUAAAAAAAACUUACACUUAAUACUAUUAUAAAAAAAAUAUAUUAAAUUUAACAUACACGAAAAGUUACAUAGAGUAAAAAAAAUCCAAAGAUUUUACACUUAUUUAUUAUUUGAUUACAAUUUACUAUAAAUGAUAAUAAAAUAAUAAUCAAAUUAAAAUAAAUAUAAAUUAAGUCAUUAAAUAAUAAAAUGCUAUAAUAAAAGUUAAAUUUUUUAUGGUAUAAAAUGAAGGGCAAAAUAAAAUUAUAAAAGCUGUAAAAAUUACACCAAACGAACAGUUUCGUAACAAAUGGGAAUUUGGUGCAACAAUGUCCAUUGAACCAAUUUGGUGUGAUGAAUUGAUAUUGAAUUGGAGUGAGUUUUUCGCUCUUAUUUGGUGUUAGGAAUGAAGAUGUCCUAAGAAGUUUUUUAGUAAAUUAUAGUAAUUAAUCGUAGAAUGUCGCUAUUGUAAGUUUUAUACUCUAAGUCCAACCGACUUUCAACAUAAACACUUUUAAUAUAUAGUUGAUGUGAUUUAUGAUAUAUCUAUUAUUUAAUUAAUUAAUAUUCAAUUAAAUUAAAUAACGGAGUCUGUAGAUUCAAAUCUUAGUAAUUUGUUAAUUAUAAGGAGUUGUGAUUGUGAUAUGCAAAUUACAUAUGAUUGAAUCUUAAAUCAUCCGGGGUCGUAAGUAAUGACGAAAUACAAAUAUCGUUAUUACGGAUAGACCAUCACUUGUGGCACUUCUUGCUUUUGAAGUAAGUAACUGAUCUCACAAGUUAAAAUGUGAUAACACUUGAAUAAAUAUGUGGAUAUUUUGUUAUAGAACAAAACAUUGGAGACCCGCUGAGAGAUUUUACAUGGAUAACUAUCUGAGAGUCAGUGGUUAAUCUCUAACGUUGGGUAGUGAAAUUUAUCCUUUGAUUUGAGGUCGUCAUAGUGCCUUAUAUGAGGAUAAUCAUGCUUUGACGGUGUUGAAUGUUGCUUUGCCAAAGGUCACUAAUAUGGCAUCGUUCGGGUAUGUCAAGAAUAAUAUGAAGGUUGUGAAUAACGAAUAGAGAUUUCGUCACUCUUGGAUAGUAAGAGAUUUGAUCUGCAUUUCAUUCAAUUAAGUCGAUAACGAAAUCCUUAGUCAAGGUGUUCUCAUAAGUCGAAAACGAGUUUUUGAUUUAUAUUGACUUAAUAGUAUAAAUGGAAGAUAUGAUUGAUAACCAAGAUUGACACACUAUCAUAUCUCGUAAUUGAUUGGAUUAUAUUGACGAAAGGAUUAAAGUUUGACAAUAAACGAACAAGUUUGAUUUUGUCAUACCACGUGACAUUUUCCGUCAUAUGCAUUGCCCUGACACAUUGCUAGAUGUCAAUUUGGGACGGUGAAUAUGAAUUGAUGAUAAAUUAAAAAAAGUGUUGUAAUUUAUCAAUUCUGAUUAUAUCAAAAUAAUAUUUCAAGUUGUUAGGUAUCGUGAUCGAAAAUCUGAUGGGUCGCACAAAAAAUGAGAACUAGAAGAUUGUAAUUUGUCAAUUAAUUAAUUUAACAGACGUUGAAUAAAUUAAUUAAUUGGGUUGCUUGGUUAUGACAUUUUCCGUCAUAUGCAUUGCCCUGACACAUUGCUAGAUGUCAAUUUGGGACGGUGAAUAUGAAUUAAUGAUAAAUUAAAAAAAAGUGUUGUAAUUUAUCAAUUCUGAUUAUAUCAAAAUAAUAUUUCAAGUUGUUAGGUAUCGUGAUCGAAAACCUGAUGGGUCGCACGAAAAAUGAGAACUAGAAGAUUGUAAUUUGUCAAUUAAUUAAUUUAACAGACGUUGAAUAAAUUAAUUAAUUGGGUUGCUUGGUUAUAAGCCUAAAUUAAUUAAUUGGAUUAAUUAAUUCACUGAUCGAAUUUAAUUAAAUAGGCUAAUUAAAUAUUGGAUCGAGUUAGGUUAAGCCCGUUUGGACUUAUAUAAAUAUAACUAGGGUUUUCAAAAUCUAUAGAGAGAAUUCGUUAUUCUUGUUAGAUGAAAAUAAUAUUUCACGUCGUUAGGUCGUGAUCAGGAACCUGAUGUGUCGCACAAAAAAGGAGAACUGAAAUAUUGUGAUUUAUCAAUUAAUUAAUUUAACAAGCGUUUGAUAAAUUAAUUAAUUGGAUUGCUUAUUUAUAUGUCUGAAUUGUGGUUUGUGGUGGUGUUGAUUUGGAGAUGGAAGUGGUGGUGAUGG